UACAGAGGUCCCAAGCGUUGUUCGGAUUUACUGGGCGUAAAGGGUGCGUAGGUAGCGAGGUAAGUUCGAUGUGAAAUCUCCGAGCUCAACUCGGAAAUGGCAUUGAAUACUAUCCCGCUUGAGGGUCGGAGGGGAGACUGGAAUUCUCGGUGUAGCAGUGAAAUGCGUAGAUAUCGAGAGGAACACCAGUGGCGAAGGCGAGUCUCUGGACGACUCCUGACACUGAGGCACGAAAGCUGGGGGAGCAAACAGG
rnacentral:rRNA from 1 species